GGAGAAAAGCAGGGGAUCGCAAGACCUUGCGCUUUUGGAGCGGCCGAUGUCUGAUUAGCUAGUUGGUGAGGUAAAGGCUUACCAAGGCGUCGAUCAGUAGCUGGUCUGAGAGGACGACCAGCCACACUGGGACUGAGACACGGCCCAGACUCCUACGGGAGGCAGCAGUGGGGAAUUUUGGACAAUGGGGGAAACCCUGAUCCAGCCAUGCCGCGUGAGUGAAGAAGGCCUUCGGGUUGUAAAGCUCUUUCAGCCGGAACGAAACGGUCACGGCUAAUACCUGUGACCACUGACGGUACCGGAAGAAGAAGCGCCGGCUAACUACGUGCCAGCAGCCGCGGUAAUACGUAGGGUACAAGCGUUAAUCGGAAUUACUGGGCGUAAAGCGUGCGCAGGCGGUUUUGUAAGUCAGAUGUGAAAUCCCCGGGCUUAACCUGGGAACUGCGUUUGAAACUACAAAGCUAG
rnacentral:rRNA from 1 species